rnacentral:rRNA from 1 species
GACGAGGGGUCCAAGCGCUGUUCGGAAUCAUUGGGCGUAAAGCGGGUGUAGGUGGCUUUGUAAGUCAGGAGUGAAAUCCCCGAGCUUAACUUGGGAAGUGCUUUUGAAACUGCAGGGCUUGAGUGUGGGAGAGGAUCGUGGAAUUCCAGGGUGUAGUGGUGAAAUACGUAGAUAUCUGGAGGAACACCGGUGGCGAAGGCGGCGAUCGG